AGAGUUUGAUCAUGGCUCAGAAUGAACGCUGGCGGCGUGCUUAACACAUGCAAGUCGUGCGCGAAGGAGGCUUCGGUCUCCGGAGAGCGGCGAACGGGUGAGUAACACGUGGGUAAUCUGCCUGGGAGCGUGGGAUAACCUGGGGAAACUCGGGCUAAUACCGCGUACGUUGGUGGACUACGGUUCUGUCAAGAAAGCUGGCCUCUGUUUACAAGCUAGCGCUCCCAGAGGAGCCCGCGGCUGAUUAGCUAGUUGGUGAGGUAAUGGCUCACCAAGGCUUCGAUCAGUAGCCGGCCUGAGAGGGUGAUCGGCCACACUGGGACUGAGACACGGCCCAGACUCCUACGGGAGGCAGCAGUGGGGAAUAUUGGACAAUGGGCGCAAGCCUGAUCCAGCAACGCCGCGUGGAGGAUGAAGGUCUUCGGAUCGUAAACUCCUGUCAGAUGGGACGAAGUUUCGGAGGCAAAUAGUUUCCGAGAUUGACGGUACCAUCAGAGGAAGCCCCGGCUAACUCCGUGCCAGCAGCCGCGGUA
rnacentral:rRNA from 1 species